ACGCUCGACACCUACGGGAGACAGCAGUGGGGAAUAUUGCACAAUGGGCGAAAGCCUGAUGCAGCAACGCCGCGUGAGCGAAGAAGGCCUUCGGGUCGUAAAGCUCUGUCCUCAAGGAAGAUAAUGACGGUACUUGAGGAGGAAGUCCCGGCUAACUACGUGCCAGCAGCCGUGGUAAUCUGAGCGGGCUGGCAAGGC
rnacentral:rRNA from 1 species